AAGUCGUAACAAGGUUUCCGUAGGUGAACCUGCGGAAGGAUCAUUAAAGAUUUGCCAAAGCUCACGCUGCGGCUUUCUAUCCCACACCGUGAACCGUGGCUUCGGCCUCGCACAUAGUGUAAUGAAUGUAUAUAUCAUAACAAAAUAAAA
rnacentral:misc_RNA from 1 species